rnacentral:rRNA from 1 species
CCUACGGGAGGCAGCAGUAGGGAAUCUUUCACAAUGGGCGAAAGCCUGAUGGAGCAACGCCGCGUGCAGGAUGAAGGCCUUCGGGUUGUAAACUGCUUUUAUAAGCGAGAAAUAUGAUGGUAACUUAUGAAUAAGGAUCGGCUAACUACGUGCCAGCAGCCGCGGUCAUACGUAGGAUCCGAGCAUUAUCCGGAGUGACUGGGUGUAAAGAGUUGCGUAGGUGGCAUAAUAAGUAGCUAGUGAAAUCUGGUGGCUCAACCAUUCAGACUAUUAGCUAAACUGUUAAGCUCGAGACCGUUAGGGGUAACUGGAAUUUCUAGUGUAGGAGUGAAAUCCGUAGAUAUUAGAAGGAACACCAAUAGCGUAGGCAGGUUGCUGGGACGGUUCUGACACUAAGGCACGAAGGCGAGGGAGCAAACGGGAUUAGAUACCCGAGUAGUC